rnacentral:rRNA from 1 species
GAUGAACGCUGGCGGCGUGCCUAAUACAUGCAAGUCGAGCGAACAGACGAGGAGCUUGCUCCUCUGACGUUAGCGGCGGACGGGUGAGUAACACGUGGAUAACCUACCUAUAAGACUGGGAUAACUUCGGGAAACCGGAGCUAAUACCGGAUAAUAUAUUGAACCGCAUGGUUCAAUGGUGAAAGACGGUUUUGCUGUCACUUAUAGAUGGAUCCGCGCCGCAUUAGCUAGUUGGUAAGGUAACGGCUUACCAAGGCGACGAUGCGUAGCCGACCUGAGAGGGUGAUCGGCCACACUGGAACUGAGACACGGUCCAGACUCCUGCGGGAGGCAGCAGUAGGGAAUCUUCCGCAAUGGGCGAAAGCCUGACGGAGCAACGCCGCGUGAGUGAUGAAGGUCUUCGGAUCGUAAAACUCUGUUAUUAGGGAAGAACAAAUGUGUAAGUAACUAUGCACGUCUUGACGGUACCUAAUCAGAAAGCCACGGCUAACUACGUG